UUCAUUUUCUCAUCCAUGAUGUUCCAGUCUAGGAAUAAUCAAGCUAGAAUUGUUGAGAAUACUACAUAGAGGAAAUGAGUCUUGAGCAAGACUUUUUAUGAUAAGAAGGAUAAUAAUGGUUGAAAAUUUGCUGGCAGAGAGGAUGCUAUUGGAGAACAGAGGCAUAAGAAUGAAAGUGAAUAUGGUAUAUGUGCAAAGGACUCUCCUACUAUGGAGUGGACAGUCAUGAUGGAAAAUAAGAUAAACUCUAAGGGUCAAACUGGAGUGAAGACUUUGGGCUUGAUUCAGUAUGUGAUAGGAUACCAUUACUGGUGAUUAAGGAGCAAAGUGACACAUUCCUGGCCCUAGUAGACAUUUGAGGAGUGUUGAUUGAGUGAAAGGGAAUGAAUGAGUGAAUGAAUGAAUGAAAUGACUGAUAGCCUGGCUUUCAGGGAAGAUAAGUAUGUGGUGUAUAAUGGAAAGGAAAGAAACAAAGGCAGAAAAUCAGUAGGGACCACGCUGUAGUGAAAAAGAAAGGAACAAAAUAUUUAUCAUUAAAUUCAGAAAGAAAAUUUGCCUAGUGACUCUACCAUCAUAUGAAAUACAGUUGAGGUCGUCCAGAAAAGUCAUUCAGAACGUGAUGGCUCUAAUGUGGUGAAGUUUUCCAAAUCCUUUGACCAGGGUCUGGGGUUUCUAAAUUUCUCUGCUGGGAUGGAGAAUGCUUUUAAGAGUUUUGUGUUUCUCCCAGGGGAAGUUAAAUUUAUUGUGGAAAUUUUGGCCACUAGAGAGAGGCAAGAGGCACAGGAGAAGGCACUACACAUUUAAUACAGAAUGACAGGAGGAAAACUGAAAUGGGAAGAAGAGAAGGAGAAAGGCAGGGAGGGAAGCAGGGAGCGAGAGAAGAGGAGCCAGUGCCAGCAGCUACGUGAUGGAUCCAGACCAGGCAUCUCCCCUCCUUUGGACCUGUCUGGACCACUUCCCCCAGUGCUUGCCUGUAACACACACAUGCUCUGCACAUCCUACACAUGUUUAUUUGCCUAUC